GGUGAAAGAAUGGGACAAAGGAAGACACAGUCAGUAGAGCCAUCUAGUGGAGAAUUAAAGAAGUACAACCUUAUGAAGACAAAUAACUUCUACACCGGUUCAACAAUUAAAUUCUUAAUUAAGGUGCUUAAUUACUGAUUCACUGACUCGUUGCUUAUUUGUGAAUACGGUAAGUUGAUAAAGAUUUACUUUAAGGCUGUAAAGGUGAUAAUACUACUACUAAUACUAAGAAUAAUGAUACUAAUGUGAAUAACAGAAUUCUGUGAACUUCUCUCGAUGUUACAGUAAUUAUUUUUCGAAGCGGGAACCUGACAACAAUUAAGAAAAUAUAAUUUGCUCGUCUUAAUUAAUAACUUCCAAACUGAAAUGUUGAUCUGUUGUUUAUGAAAACCUAUUGUCAACUGUUACAUGUGAUAUAUAGGAAAUUAAUUUGUAUAAUUAGAGUAAAGCGGCGUAAUUAAUUUGUAAAAUGAAACCGAUUGACGAAUACCACGUUAAUUUCUUUUGUCCCGUUGUUUACGAGGCAUUGAUGAAACGGUAAAUCGAUACAGAUUUACGGAUGUUUUCGGUUUGAACGGCAGUUUUAAAAAAUAAUUUUACCCCUAAUCCUAACCCUAAAGCAGAUUGAAACGCAAUAGAUCGAUUCUAGGGUCAUAAUUAUGGGUGACAAUUUCAUAUGACACCACUAGAAAAAUCUGCCGGAAAACCGAAAAGAUUCGAUAUUACUACUUCUAAUAAUAAUGUAAGUAAUAGAAUUAUGUGAACCUUUUAAUGUUAAGUAAUUAUUUUGAAGAGAAUACAUAACAUUAGGAAAAUAUAUUUGCUCGUCUUAAAUAAUAACUUCCAAACUGAAAUGUUGAUCUGUUUUUUUUAGGGAAAACCUACGAUCGACUUUUAUAUGUGAUAUAAAGGAAAUAAAUUGGUAAAAUGCGAGUAAAACUGCGUAAUUAAUAAAUAAAAUGCGAUGAAACCGAUUGAAGAAUACCACAGUCAUUAAUAUUGUCCUGUUUGUUUCUGAGGCCAGCUUAAACCGUAAGUUGACAAAUAUUUCCUUUAAGUUGUGUCUGGGGAGAGUCAUUUUCUUUUUGUGCCUUAUAAUAAAAACACGCGCACCUGUAAAAUUUCCAUUUAUUUCUCUUCUUUUUUCUUUCUAAAAUUUUCGUUGCAUCUUGCAACCUUUUCAAUAAUCUUGAGUCAAGUGGAAAUUUUACUGGUGUGUGUGUUAAAUUAUAAGGCACAAAAAGAAAAUGACUCUCCCCAGACACAACAGAAUAUGCUUCAACACACGAACUCAUUUAAAGAAUCGAGCAAACCAAAUCCGAAAACGAAAUGUAAUUCACAAUAAAACAGUGUUGAUGCUGUAAUAUUUGCAAUGUUGAAUUACUAUUUUAUCUGAUGAUCUGGAAGUAUUUCGUUGGAAUUAACAAUAAAACGAAGAACAGCAGGGUGUCCCCCAAGACAUGCCUAUGGAGAUGAAAUGAAAUUUAAACGGCAUUCUUUCGAUAUAACUCGACAAAAUCAAAACAUUUCACUUCGGGUGUUUCCGUGGAAGCAAAUGACGCAAAAAGAGAAUGACUCUCCCCAGACACAACAGAAUAUGCACAAACUCAUAUAAACUCAUAUAAAGUUUAUAUAAACUCAUAUAAACUCAUAUAAAGAAUCUUGCAAACCAAAUCUGAAAACGAAAAAUAAUAAUAAUGUUAAAGUGAAAACCAAGUAAUACGACCAUCCCCUAAUAUAUGAAAAGAGGAAAUUCAUCUCUAAAUAUAAUUAUAUGUGUAUGCAUGUGUGCUGCUGUCUUCUUGCCUUAAUAUUGUGUGAUUGUCGUAAACGAGUAUCACUGUCAUACAAGCAGUGUGUUUUGUUCCCAAUCAGGAGUGGCUGUGUGGUAAGUAGCUUGCUAACCAACCACAUGGUUCCGGGUUCAGUCCCACUGCGUGGCACCUUGGCAAGUGUCUUCUACUAUAGUCUUGGGCCGACCGAAGCCUUGUGAUUUGGUAGACGGAAACUGAAAGAAGCCCGUCGUAUAUAUAUAUUGGCGCAGGAGUGGUUGUGUGGUAAGUAGCUUGUUUACCAACCACAUGGUUCCGGGUUCAGUCCCACUGCGUGGCACCUUGGGCAAGUGUCUUCUACCAUAGCCUCGGGCCGACCAAAGCCUUGUGAGUAGAUUUGGUAGACGGAAACUGAAAGAAGCCCGUUGUAUAUAUGUAUGUGUAUAUAUAUAUAUAUAUAUAUAUAUAUAGGCGCAGGAGUGGCUGUGUGGUAAGUAGCUUGUUUACCAACCACAUGGUUCCGGGUUCAGUCCCACUGCGUGGCACCUUGGGCAAGUGUUUUCUACUAUAGCCUCGGGCCGACCAAAGUCUUGUGAGUCGAUUUGGUAGACGGAAACUGAAAGAAGCCCGUCAUAGGCGCAGGAGUGGCUGUGUGGUAAGUAGCUUGUUUACCAACCACAUGGUUCAGGGUUCAGUCCCACUGCGUGGCACCUUGGGCAAGUGUCUUCUACUAUAGCCUCGGGCCGACCAAAGCCUUGUGAGUGGAUUUGGUAGAUGGAAACUGAAAAGAAGCCCGUCAUAUAUCUGUAUAUAUAUAUAUAUAUAUAUAUAUGCGUGUGUCUGUCCCCCUAGCAUUGCUUGACAACUGAUGCUGUUGUGAUUACGUCCCCGUAACUUCGCGAUUCGGCAAAAGAGACCGAUAGAAUAAGUAUUGGGCUUACAAAAGAAUAAGUCCCGGGGUCGAUGUGUUUGAUUAAAGGCGGUGCUCCAGCAUGGCCUCUAUCAAAUGACUGAAACAAGUAAAAGAGAGAGUAAAGUGUAAUCUUCCAUGUAAAGAUAUCCUGUCUGCCUCAAUAAUUGCAAGCAUUGAAAAAUCUGUAUUGAAAUGAUGAGAAUGUUGUUGUAACGGUUUUGUUCAAUAUCUUAAGGUUUUCUUGUAUUAUUUCAGAAUAUCCCACCUUGUUGGCAGAAAAGGAAGUUCUUACAUCCGAUGUGUUCUCGAUGUUGUUAUCAACAUGUACUGACCAAAGGAAGACGAUAUAUUUAUAAGAAGCAUUUGUCAAUACGUCGACCUCUUUAUAUAUAUUUAAAAGAAACAUUCAUGAAUCAAAAUCUAUGAUAUGAUGGAAAAAUAUUUCUUCUUGACCAGUGCUUUUCAAACUUGUUGCUGGAGCGGAACCCCAAGGAAACAUUCCACUGGCUCGAGGAACCCCUGCGCAAUAAUUUAAUAGUUUUAUGCACAAAUAUCUGCACAGGAGAAUUAAAAAUUACUGUCGAUUUUAGCAGUUUUGUAACUUCUUGCGGAAUCCCUGGACUGUACUGGCGGAACCCUGGUUGAAAACCACUGUUCUAGACAAUGGAAUUAAGAGCAGCAUUUUCUUGUCUUCGCUGUCUGGAAUGUGGAGAAGGUGAUUGCUUUACAAAAAGGAAAAAUAAAUUAUUCUUUUCAUAAUCAAAAUACAGGAGCUGAAAAAAGGAAAAAAAAAUACAGGACCAGAUACUGCAACAGCUUGGGUUUCAGGGGAUCACAGCUCUUCAAUAUCCUUCCUAAAUGCUUGAGAGACCUGCAUGGUGUGGAUGUGGGUUUCUUUAAAACUAAACUUGAUCUCUUCUUGUUAGGG
rnacentral:lncRNA from 1 species